rnacentral:ncRNA from 12 species
AGUUUCCAGGUCUGUGGUUGCAAGUCGAAGCCAGCUGCAGGCUAAACGACCCACGUAAGGCGGCAGUAUAGUGCCGCUGAUCAUGGUGCGGCUUAGAAGUAAGCCCGACCAGGUUUUCAUGGAACCGUAAGGAAGGACGCUACAAGAAUCCCCGCUUUUCUAUGCCGUGGAUCCAGCGACUCCCCAAGGAUGCCAAAAACCUGAGAGAAGAAGUAGUGAGGAAGGCCAACCUUUAUUAGCGAAACUUCCUGUCGGCGGGUGUGGGGUCAAGCCAGGUCAGCUGGAACGA